CAAAGGCUUGGUCCUGACUUUACUAUCGACUCUGGCUAAACUUACACAUGCAAGUAUCCGCAUCCCGUGAGAAUGCCCUACAGUUCCCUGUCCGGGAACAAGGAGCUGGUAUCAGGCAC
rnacentral:rRNA from 1 species